UACAGAGGGUGCGAGCGUUGUCCGGAAUCACUGGGCGUAAAGGGCGCGUAGGUGGUGGCUUAAGCGUGCGGUGAAAGCUCGGAGCUCAACUCCGAGUCGGCCGUGCGAACUGGGCUCACUGGAGCAUAGUAGAGGCAGGUGGAAUUCCGGGUGUAGCGGUGGAAUGCGUAGAGAUCCGGAAGAACACCGGUGGCGAAGGCGGCCUGCUGGCUAUGGCUGACACUGAGGCGCGACAGCGUGGGGAGCAAACAGG
rnacentral:rRNA from 1 species